CAGUAGCCACGGUAAUACGUAGGUGGCAAGCGUUGUCCGGAAUUAUUGGGCGUAAAGGGCUCGCAGGCGGUUUCUUAAGUCCGAUGUGAAAGCCCCCGGCUCAACCGGGGAGGGUCAUUGGAAACUGGGAAACUUGAGUGCAGAGGAGGAGAGUGGAAUUCCACGUGUAGCGGUGAAAUGCGUAGAGAUGUGGAGGAACACCAGUGGCGAAGGCGACUCUCUGGUCUGUAACUGACGCUGAGGAGCGAAAGCGUGGGGAGCGAACAGGAUUAGAGACCCCAGUAGUCCCUGUCUCUUAUAC
rnacentral:rRNA from 1 species